AUGCUCCUCUGCCGCGCAGUCAUCACAGGAUGGGGCGGCGACCUCACCUUCCUAUUCAAUGUUCUGCCGGUAGCGAUGUUCUCUGUCCAGGAGCAUCCGGACAGGGAGGUGCUCCACGCUAUGCGUCUAGGCAUGUACUGCAACGCCGACCACAUGGCUAAGAUGGUCGUUGCCGUCACCGAGUUCCGUGCUCUCUGUUCUUCAUUAAAUCCAGAUGCGGAAACUAAAAGGCGAGUACCAUGGGAUCAUGAAGUAUAUAAAGCAAAGGAGGAGUUGUACCAUCUCCUCUCCGGCAAGAUCCUUUUUUUUGCUGGGGAAUAA
rnacentral:rRNA from 1 species